rnacentral:ncRNA from 15 species
AUAUUUAUAAUAUCGUGCGGAAAUCCAGGACUAUAAAACCGUGUUGCUUCGUUGCGAUUUUUUAUUUGCAUGCAAGCGUCAAGUCCAUCGGAGAGAUCAAUAUCGUUCAUCUUAGCGCCCUUUCUGUUGAAUAAAUUGGGAAAAGCCUAGCUUCUUCUCACCACAUACAAUGGAGGGCUGGUAGAUCGGAUAUCC